rnacentral:snoRNA from 1 species
AAGCUCAACGACGAGGAUCUCAUGUCCUACAUCCUCGCCGGUCUCGACGUCGACUUCGACCCAGUGGUUUUAGCGGUUGCAGCCCGCGUGGAACCGAUCUCCGUCGUUGAGCUGAUCACGCAGCUCACAAGUUUCGAGC